ensembl:lncRNA
ACUCUAAUGCAGUGGCAGUACAAGGUCUGCAGAUAAACAACAACUCGCCACCAGACACAAUGACUUCACUUGUAAUGCUUUGAGUGAUUCUGGCACAGCAUGGCAUAUGAAAACUGAGUUUACCAUCCGGAAUACCACUUACUGUGAAAGAUCUCUAUGCGGCCGUAAAAAAAGAGGCAUUUGGAGGAGGAGAGCAGUUUAUCCUUCAGUACAUAGACAGGGAUUUUGGAGACCAGUUCUGCACUGUAACUUCAACUAAUCUAAUUUAAGAUAAACCCGCACUCAGAGUCAUUCACAUUGCACCGCCAGCAUUUGUGCCACCAUAGGAUACAGUUGAGAAUAUCUUUCAAAAUAAUGGAACCUCCUCAGCCUCCUGUAGUUCCUUGGCAUCAUUUGGCUCCUCUGCAGAAACAGUUUUGUUGCCAUGUGAUCCAUGUAUGGAAAGCAACAGCUCCACCCCCUGGCCAUCUGAGGUACCAAUUCCAAGAAUUAUUUAUAACACAGAGCUUGUGUUAGAGAUAGCACAUGAAAGCUUUCUCAGGGAUGGCAGCCUUCUGAAUUCACCAAGUAUUAAAACCGACAUUCUUGAGAGGUAGAAGAAAGAAACGAUCUACCAGUGCACAGCAUAUCCAUCUGGUGCACAGCUUUGUGCUGUGGCGGAGGCUCUCAUCGAGCGGCAUCCGUGCUUAAAAGAACCAGACUUGGUCUCUGUUUGCUAUGGUUGGCUGUCAAGUUGAAACUACCAAAUGGGGAAUUCUACAACAAAACUCAGAAGCCUUGGAUGUCCAGAGGUCACAGUCAACUCUGUCAAACUGAAGAAACCUCAAGAUGCAACCUCCUGCCAGAAAUGUAAAAAAGCCAAGAAAGGCAGAACUUAAUUAUCUCCCUCCACAUCCAACUGGAGAGACGCAGGAAAGUCUGGAACAAGAACGAAUCUGUUGAUUGAUGAGUCAAAGAAGAAAGACAAUGCUAAAAUUCUUAGUGAAAAAAUACUUUUUCAUUUUCACGGGGACGACAAGAAGUAGAGUGCCAGUGCCCACCAGUAGCAGGGGUGAAAGAGAGGGGGGGCCAGCCGUGUUCAGCUUUUCCCAGGUGCAAGAGGAGUUUCAAAGGAUUACUGCUUUACAUCUAGUGUCAAAAUUCAUGCCGCUCCUCGACAAAUACACGCCACGACGGCUGUCCAUACUUAACGAAAAAGGGAGGUGCCACAGGAAGAAGGCUUUGUCCAUGUCAUUUUGAGAGAUUGGCAUGUGACUCUAGUGGGAUUGACUGCCCUGCCAAUACAAUGAAUGGGGAAACACUAUAUCCUCACCUGAUAUCAUUGAGAAACUGUUCCAUAACCCUGUAAUUUAUGGUUAUAUGCCAUGGAAAUGUCUAGUCAAUACGUAUCUGAUGUGAGCCUUGUUUGUGUUGAUGACAAACAAGGUAGUAAAACAUAAGUGCUUGAAAUUACCUAAGUGGAUGGAACAUCGGCAGGUUCAUUGAGGGGGAAGAAGUGCUGUGUGACAUCAUCAGCAGUAUGCCGAAGGCUUGCCUCACACUUCUUGGCUUCAUAUAUGCUCUGAAUCUUAAAUAUCCCAAGGAAAUCAAGCACAGUUUGGAGGUCUUCCAAUAACUUUUUCUAGAGCUUGAUGAUACAAAACAGACUCCAAAAGUGUUUUCAUUGAAAAACAAAUUGUUAUCCUACAUGAUUGAUGUUUUGGAAGGUUUGUUUGGAAUCACAGAGCUCCAGAGUAUCGUAUCAUGUCUGAAUCGGUAGGACUAAAUAACAUUAGAUUAACCAACUCAAAAGUAUCAACUUGAUAAUUCUGGCUUUUGAUACAAAGCGAAAUGAAAUUAAACUUAAUUGUUGUUGUUGCCCUGACUUAAGUACAAUUAUGUAUCCAAUAAUGGCAUGUAUGUUCAUUGUACUUGAAUAUUAAAUAUUGCAAGUUAAACCAAUGUAAAAUAUCCUUGCAAAAUAUACCCUUAAUUUUGUUUUAAGUUGGCUUACCCCUCCAAUAGAUGGCACCUUUUUCUAUAGCAAGAAUGACAUGCUGUGAUUGUAUUGUAAACAAAUACAAUAAGUCACAAUGGAGAAGGCAUUGUGAAUAAAACUGAGGUGGUUAGGUUACA